AUUCAGUUGACGAGCCCCAAAUAGGACGAAGUGAUGCGUAUCCUGGAU
rnacentral:hammerhead_ribozyme from 1 species